rnacentral:misc_RNA from 1 species
AUCGUUGUUGGACUUAUUUGACUACGCACGCAUAGGUGAAAUGAGAACACACGAUUCUGGAGGUGCAUCAAUUCUUGCACUCCGUGAAAGGAAAUAAAAGAAUUUCUGUACAUAUACAGACUGUGAAGGUACAUGUAGCUGGUAUUGCAGAAAAAAUUACACUUAGGCAGUCAUCAAAACACCAUGGCAGUGUCUAAUUCAUAUAUAUACACCAGGUCCAAGAGUGUCAGUUUCAAAUCGAUAAACGAAGCCCAAGUCUGUGUUGGCAAGUCGAGUUUUUUAACGCAAAAAUGUCCAGCAAUUUCAACAAAAGAAAUCAAGGAUAAUAACGAGAGAGAGGAAACACUAAUGGAGGUAGAUGAUCAAGACACAUAUGUUCCCAGGUUCUCUAUUCAACCAAUUCCAACACCUGUCGUCGGAAAAUAUGUAAACAAAGAUGUAAAGUAUGAAAAAAUUGAACCAGUUAACGAAGCACAAGCUUUUGUUGAUGAUUCGUUUCUUUCAAAUUCAGAAAGGCUUGAUUCUGAGUCAACCAUAAUUGGAAGUAUGAAAAUUGAUAGAUUUAUCACGUCAGGUAAAAAAUGCGAUGGUGAUAAAGAUAACAUUACUGAUGAAUUGAAAAAGAGUGAACGUUAUACCAUCUCUGAAGGGUUAACUAUGAAAGAGAGCAUGGGACGUUCAAAUGUGAUAUCUGUAAUGGGGAGUUCAUUUCAGUCCUCAUCACCUCACACGAAGAACUUUGGACGAAGUGCAUCUUCUAGGCAAAAAUACCAGAUACACGGUAAAUGGACGACAUUAGAUACAACAUUUGAUACUAUCAGAGUAAGGCUGAAACAACCAUUGACACUAGUCUUAGACACUCUGGUAAAUUACUUUGAGAACAAACGGAAGUCAGGGGGAUGAGACAUUGAAUCAUUAACAAUCAUCAAAGGAACAGAAAUGGAAGUUGAAGAAGUUCUCAUCACAUUUUCAGAGUCUAAAGAUGCCAUGACUUGUGUUCAACAACAGCACAUGAUAGAAAAAAACCCCCUAAAUGUUCAGAAAUAUGACCCAAAUGAUCCAAGUCAGUGGGAAAUGGACAAAGUUCUAGUUACAGGAUUAAACCAUGUAACAACAAAAGACACGCUGAUGAAUUUUCUAGAACCUGCGGCUGGUGUUGAUCUGAUAGAACUAGUAAGAGGGGUACAGAGAGAUGCAGCCAUAGUGGUUUUUGCCGAAAAACCAGGUACAGGGAAAUAUAGUGGAAGCUCAAUGGCAUAAGUACAUUCUAUCUUAAAUUGAAAAUCCUAUUGGCAAAUGAAUUAUUAAGGUCUUCCGUUUCCAACGGAAGACCUUGUACUGAUUCUGAUCGUGAUUCUUUAUUCUUCUUCUAGACAUUUUUUAAACCUUAAUAACUUUUUUGUUUGUUAUACGAUUUCAUUCAAAUUUUCAGUGUGUAUUGUAAAUUAGAUUUAGUUUUAAAAAAAAAUGAAAAAUCGUAACUUCUGGGUUCGAGUUAUUCCCCUUUUUAAAUUUGUUUAGGGGCAUUCGUUUCCGGACAAAGGCUCAGAAAUGGUCCGUAGCAAAUAAUCCAAAGUUAGAAAUCUUUAAAAUUGACACUAUUAUUGUUGUCCUUUGAUUUUUUGUAUUUUAGAUUUUUCCAAUUGUACCGCUUGAAUUAUAUAAUUGAAAUCU